UGUCCCUGGCUGUCUACCUACUACAGUCAAUCUUUCUGUCAGAGAUGAGGGAGGAGGUGUAAAACUCUCCUAUAUCUUGCAAUAUUUGUCACAGAAUCACAGAGCAGAGCAAUAGGUUUGAAAGGAAGUGGGGUACAUCAGGCCUUCAAGUUAAAAAGGGAGCUGGAACUUUGGAUGGUUACUUACUCUCUAUGUAAUUCAGUGACACAUGAGCAUUCCUGUUCUGCAGCACAAAGAUUCACUCACAGUGGCCAUGGCUGUAAUGUAUGAGCAGAAGUUAUCUACCAUGCUGAAAAGAGAUUUACGGUGCUGAUAACAAGUGACUAACAAAGCAAAGACAAGAACAGCUGAUCACUCCUCCUCAUCAUCACAAGACACCAGCUGAAGUCCAGAGG
rnacentral:lncRNA from 1 species